rnacentral:rRNA from 1 species
CCUACGGGAGGCAGCAGUAGGGAAUUUUCGUCAAUGGGCGCAAGCCUGAACGAGCGAUGCCGCGUGAGUGAAGAAGGCCUUCGGGUCGUAAAGCUCUGUUGCGGGGGAAAAAAGGCAGCAUCAGGAAAUGGGUGCUGACUGAUGGUGCCCCGCCAGAAAGUCACGGCUAACUACGUGCCAGCAGCCGCGGUAAUACGUAGGUGGCGAGCGUUAUCCGGAAUGGUUGGGCGUAAAGGGUGCGCAGGCGGUCCUGCAAGUCUGGAGUGAAACGCAUGGGCUCAACACAUGCAUGGCUUUGGAAACUGGAGGACUGGAGAGCAGGAGAGGGCGGUGGAACUCCAUGUGUAGCGGUAAAAUGCGUAGAUAUAUGGAAGAACACCAGUGGCGAAGGCGGCCGCCUGGCCUGUUGCUGACGCUGAGGCACGAAAGCGUGGGGAGCAAAUAGGAUUAGAUACCCCAGUAGUC